AACUCGCAAGAGGAAGUAUAGGGUGUGAUGCCUGCCCGGUGCCGGAAGGUUAAGAGGAGGAGUCAGCCGCAAGGCAAAGCCCCGAAUCGAAGCCCCGGUAAACGGCGGCCGUAACUAUAACGGUCCUAAGGUAGCGAAAUUCCUUGUCGGGUAAGUUCCGACCUGCACGAAUGGCAUAACGACUUCCCCACUGUCUCGGAGAGGCCCUCAGCGAAGUAGCACUAGGGGUGAAGAUACCCUUUACCCGCGGCAGGACGGAAAGACCCCGUGAACCUUUACUGUAACUUGGCACUGAUUUUCGGGUUAGCUUGCGUAGGAUAGGUGGGAGGCUAUGAAGCCGGGAUUCCGGUCUCGGCAGAGCCAACCUUGAAAUACCACCCUGGCUAACCUAAAAAUCUAACUCGCUCCCGUAAUCCGGGAGGAGGACAAUGCCUGGUGGGCAGUUUGACUGGGGCGGUCGCCUCCCAAAAAGUAACGGAGGCGCGCGAAGGUUCCCUCAGCCUGAUUGGAAACCAGGCGUAGAGUGUAAUGGCAUAAGGGAGCUUGACUGCGAGACAAACAAGUCGAGCAGGUGCGAAAGCAGGUCAUAGUGAUCCGGUGGUCCUGUAUGGAAAGGCCAUCGCUCAACGGAUAAAAGGUACUCCGGGGAUAACAGGCUUAUCACGCCCAAGAGUUCACAUCGACGGCGUGGUUUGGCACCUCGAUGUCGGCUCAUCGCAUCCUGGGGCUGAAGUAGGUCCCAAGGGUUUGGCUGUUCGCCAAUUAAAGCGGUACGCGAGCUGGGUUCAAAACGUCGUGAGACAGUUUGGUCCCUAUCCGCCGUGGGCGCAGGAGACUUGAGAGGAGCUAACCUUAGUACGAGAGGACCGGGUUGGACUGACCUCUAGUGUUCCGGUUGUGGCACCAGCCGCAUCGCCGGGUAGCUACGUCGGGAAUGGAUAACCGCUGAAAGCAUCUAAGCGGGAAGCCAACCUCAAGAUUAGGUCUCCCAGGUCGUAAGACCCUAAAGGCCCCUUGUAGACCACAAGGUAAUAGGCUGGGUGUGGAAGCGUAGUAAUACGUGGAGCUGACCAGUACUAAUCGGCCGUGCGGCUUGACCAU
rnacentral:rRNA from 1 species